rnacentral:misc_RNA from 1 species
AUAUACUGUUGUAAACCCUAGGCUGAGAAGGAGUUUGCUAAAUAUGAUAAAACUCGAGUUCAGAUUCUUCACUUGGAUAUAUCAAAGCUCAAGUCUGUUAGGAGAUUUGCGGAUGAUAUUAAAUCCAUGAAUGGCUCUGUUCAUGUGUUGAAGGUGAAUAAUGCCGGUAUACUGGAGAAGGGAGGGCGACGGGAAACUAUAGAUGGUUACGAGGCUCAUUUUGGAACAAACUAUUUAGGUCAUGUCCUGUUGACCUACCUGCUGUUAAACUUGAGGAAGGGGAAAAAAGGAUGUCAGCAGACUAGAGUCAUUAAUGUUUCCUCAUGUCAACAUAGAGUUGGAUCCUGGCUAGAUUUUGAAGACCUGAACAUGAAAAAUUCAUAUUCAAUGGAACAGGCGUAUGGGAACUCGAAGGCUGCCAUGGUUAUGUUUUCACAGAUAUUAGAGACUAAGUUUAGUGUUCCCAGUGUUUCCUUACAUCCUGGUGUAGUUUAUACAGAUAUGGCAACCAGUGAAUCUAGUUGGGUGUCUUUAAUAAGCAGCAUGAGUUCAGGUUUCACGAGCUGGUAAAUAUUUGAAGAAUAAUCAACUUGUAAACAUUAGUUCAUUCACGGCUGCUAGGAGUAACCAAAAAAAGCUGUGGGACAAGACCUGCUGUAUGCUCAAACCUCAUUUUCAGAAAAGAUAAAUGACGAAAGAAUAUUCCAGCGAAUGACAAGUAGCAAGUUUAUGGAAGCGCUGACCCAUUAUUUCACUGAUUGUUGGGAUUGAUUGUAAAACCAAAAAUGUAGAUUCUAUGUUUUUAAAAUUAAUUUCCCGCAUUAUUUAAAUUUUUAGGAUUUUUUAUUACACCUAAUCCCCCCCCCCUCCCCCGCCAAAAAAUGCAUCUUUAUUUUUUACAACUUGUGAUAAUUAUGAUAGACUUAUAAUUCGUUUGUUAUUAAAAUUGUGAUUGCACGUAGAUGGAUGGACCUAUAGACUGAAAUAUUUGUUACUAGCUGAAGGGCCCAGCGUUGCCCGUGGAAUUAUUUUCAAUUUCGAUUUUUUUAGUCUUAAACACGACCCAUGAG